UACUGAAUCUGUGAAGGGACAAACAAAACGCGUUUUCAUGUUGCUAGUACUGGUUUGGAACGCAAGAGGGCGCAACACUAAACGGAUUUUUCUUGUUUUCCCCCCUCUGCCUUUUCCUAAAUCUGAUCUAUAUAUCCAAUUUAUCCUUUGUGUUAAUAUGUCCAAUUAGCCUACUUAUAAUAUCAAUAAUAGUAGUUCCUUAAUUAAUCAUUUUCUAUUGAUUAAUUCUAAUGUUUACAUUUUUUGUUUCCUAUUUAAUUACAUCCUCUACUGUCACAUUUAUUUUCCUGGUUAUGUUAGAUCUGUCUUUUAUCAGUUUUAAUUUCUCUUGUGCUGCUGGUACAUUUCUUAGAUUUUUUAGUUUAAAAGUUUGCAAAAGUGAACGGUAAUGCCCAUGUUAUAACCUUUUAGCAGAUAAUAUUGAAUUGUAAAAAAGCUUGCAUCUUUUUUGUUAAUUUAUUGUGUUCUUAACCACAUCUGAAAAGAAGACAGUAUUAAUUUGAAUAGAAAUUUGUUUAGUCACCAACAGUCACUUUCUGUACUUUUAUUUAACUAUUUUUACCAACCACAUAAGAACAGAAACCCACAGUUGAUCAUGGCCAUUUCUGUUUAUGCAUAUCAUUGGACAUACAGGUAUACACCGAUGUCAGCUUAAAGGUUAAAAAAAGUUUUGUCCCUGCAUCACUUUGAUCUUAUCAUAAACUCGUGUUUACAGAAUGGCAACAUAUUAAACUCAUCCAAAAUGACUCAUUAUAGAUACAGUAAAAUACAGGUGAGAGGGCGGUUCUGUGGGCGUGUGUUUUGGAAACACGUCACACGUCAAUCAAUUUUGGAAUUAAAAAUCCCUGUUUUUCCCAUUUUGGAGCGCAGAUAGACGACAGAAGGAAACGUGGAAGUUUGGAUAAAGAAAAGCAAAGCAUAGAAAAUGAAUAACAUUUGGCUUUUGUAUCUUGUGGUGUUGAUCAUGACUUUACCCUUUUCAAUUCAGGGGAACUCUGAUCAAUCAAAGUCCUCAGAUGGUCUUAGUCGAUCAUCCUCUGGAUCCUCCUCUUCCUCCUCAUCAUCAUCAUCAUCAUCAGACAGCUCAACUGCUCAUACGAAUUCCAGCGCUGUGUCCUUGGCUCCUGUGCCCAUUGCAUUGUGCAUACUGAUCCCAACAGCCACCUUGGGUUUCCUCUACGGGACACCUUAAACUAAAUGGAGAAAGUCUUGCAGAUGGUUAAAGCUAUAAUAAAGGCCAAAGAUGGACAGUGCAAACCUUUCUGAAGUUCUUUAAAACCGAGGACAAACACACAGGAAUAACACUAGCAUGCACAACUCACAUUCACACUGGAUUUUGAAAUAAUGAAAGUUAAUAAAGGGAUUUGUUUAGUUUAGCAUCUCUCUGCUGCUGCAAACCAAGAGUCUUCAGCAGAACCACAGCAGUUUGUGAUGGUUUUAGAUAAAGCUCGUUUCCUCUAUGCCAACUUCUGUUAAACUUUGUUUAGAUGCCUUAAAGAAAAUUUUGUCCCAGCUUGAAUUUGAAUUAGUGUUAUUAUCAACUAAUUAAACGUGUUUCUUUUAAGAAUUAAAAUCUGCCUGGCAUGUAUAUCUGUUUAUAUUCUGCCAUGUGAAAUAUGUGCACAUAUUUUGCUGUGUAAACUUAAUCAAUGUAAUCCAUCUCCUCUUGUGAUUUAUAUUGUGAUGAUCCAUUAAUUUUAAUAAUUAUAUAUUUGAAAAUAUGCACAAUUAAAGUAAAUUAAAUUUA